GUUUGCUCCAGCUCGCUCUCUGCGCCUUGGCUGCUUCCUUCUCUUGUUGCUUUGUUCAACGCACCAAGAACCUGGACAACUCAGUCAAGACUCUCCAUCCGGUCUGAGAUCGCAUCAGGGAGGCAGCGAGGUGCUCCCGACACUGAGUGAAACUGCACACACACGCUCUCCUUCGACCCUGCAGCAGAGGCCUGGUAGAUCAGUUAGCUGCAUCUGAAAAGGAAACAUGGAGUCUCAUUGAAAUCUCUGCACAACUUAGAUUCAUUCUUCUCUGAAAUCUGAAUUUUUAAUAGAAAGUUCCAGCCAUUCAGAAGAGGAGGCUGUGUCCACGCUUAAAAUGUGCAGAAGCAGUGAGCAGACGUGACCCAGUGACGUGCACGGGGCUUUUCCCACCCACGGGACUAGGAACUCCACUCCCCGUCCCGUCCCGGCGAAAGAGAGCACUCCGGGCUCUGGGACCGAAAGUGAGCCCAGGAACUUGGUGAAAUAGAAACCGGACAUAUUAUCUUUGGACUCGGCCUCCUUUUGCUGGGAGUUUUGUUUUUGCUUUCUCUCUCUCUCUCUCUCUCUCUCUCUCUCUCUCUCUC